AAUAAACCUUUCUACGUGUAGGAAGCUGAAUGUACCGAAGGAAUAAGGAUCGGCUAACUCCGUGCCAGCAGCCGCGGUAAUACGGAGGAUCCAAGCGUUAUCCGGAUUUAUUGGGUUUAAAGGGUGCGUAGGCGGCUUAUUAAGUCAGGGGUGAAAGACGGUGGCUCAACCAUCGCAGUGCCCUUGAUACUGAUGAGCUUGAAUACACUAGAGGUAGGCGGAAUGUGACAAGUAGCGGUGAAAUGCAUAGAUAUGUCACAGAACACCGAUUGCGAAGGCAGCUUACUAUGGUGUUAUUGACGCUGAGGCACGAAAGCGUGGGGAUCAAACAGGAUUAGAUACCCUGGUAG
rnacentral:rRNA from 1 species